UACGGAGGGUGCAAGCGUUAUCCGGAUUCACUGGGUUUAAAGGGUGCGUAGGUGGGUUGGUAAGUCAGUGGUGAAAUCUCCGUGCUUAACAUGGAAACUGCCAUUGAUACUACUGAUCUUGAAUUUUCUGGAGGUAAGCGGAAUAUGUCAUGUAGCGGUGAAAUGCUUAGGUAUGACAUAGAACACCAAUUGCGAAGGCAGCUUGCUACAGGGAUAUUGACACUGAGGCACGAAAGCGUGGGGAUCAAACAGG
rnacentral:rRNA from 1 species